AUCGCGACACUCGUUCGAGGUGUCCGGCGGCGUGCUCAUCGACGCCGGAUGAAACGGGAAAGAGGUGCGGCCGCGGCAACGAACCUUGCGCGUUUGUCUGCCCGGCCCAAGCCUCUGCUGCCCCCGCAACGGUAAGUGUGCGCGGGCGCAUCUAUUCAAGCGGCCUGGUCCGCCAAGCGCGAUUUGCGCCUCGGUAGACCGGCCCGGCCACUGCGAGCUCGCGCUUGCGGGAAGGCGAUGCGCCCGAUCCCAUCAGCCCGGAGACCGGCCUCGAACGAUGGCGGAGU
rfam:Betaproteobacteria bacterium RBG_16_64_9 RBG_16_scaffold_41953, whole genome shotgun sequence.